rnacentral:lncRNA from 1 species
GAGUGGUGAGAUCUUGUAAGAAAAGAUUUUUGGAGUGACUUUUGAGGAGAACCGAUGGCUAUUAGGCAGUGGUGCAAUUCAUUCUUUAGAAGGACGAUCGGCAGUGGACUUGUAAAAAAGGCUACAACACUAUAUUAAAUUGGGAAGGAUUCUGCUCUCUUCUGUGUGGAUCACCAUUGGAGAAUAUCUAUUUUGGUAUCUUAUGGGGACCAUCCUCGCACCGGAU